GACCAACACUCUUCCUCCUCCUCUGCCUACUCAAUGUGAAGACAAUGAGGAUGAACACCUUUAUGAUGCUCCACUUCCACUUAUUGAAUAGUUGUAACCAGUUACUACAGGCGAAAGCAAAUCCAUGUCUUCAGGCUGGUGUCAUCAGGGAGAGAAGGUUUGGUUUCCACAUAAGGAUAUAAGAUCAUUGAUGUAAAACAAGACAUGUAACCUCUCAAAUUGAGAGAAUGGAUUGGAGAGAUAUUGUUGACCAUGUUUUCCCCUGUAUCUCACCUUCCCCUCUCCAAGACUUCCUUGUCAGUUACCCAUAUUGAUAUCAGUUUAUCCACAUCCAUGCUUUCAAGUUUAAACAAAGAAACUAGGCAAAGGCAGCUAUGUAUUCGCUAGGAUUAGGGAGGAGAAGAUAAUGAACCACUGGAUAGUGAGAAGAAAGAGAGGUGGAGAAAGUGAGAGACCCCAGUAACAGAGGACAGGGACACAUUGCUAAGGAUAGGGACACAUUCACUGUAAUAUAGAAGGCCAUGCUUAUAUGUAAAAUAUGCAGUAAUUGUAUAUAUAUGUACAAAAGUGAU
rnacentral:lncRNA from 10 species